GGAUUUAGUGUGGGACUGGUGAACGGCGACCUACCGAGCAACGGAACUGUUGGAUAAUCAGUGAAACAUGGUAGAGACAAUAUCACCUUCUUGAAUCCUUCUCAACAACAGAAAAACAAAAACUGGUCAGAAGUGGGGGGAAUAAAAAUGCAACCAACUACAGUGCAACAGCAAACAAAAAGAAGGGACUGACAUCACCCUGCUUCAAUCAUGCAGAUCACUCUGGGGAGCCCAAGUCUCUCUGCUGCCUACUUCAGCUUUGGUCAAGUUAUGGUGACCUCUCAAAAAGGAUUUGUGAACUGAGAUGAACCUG